rnacentral:rRNA from 1 species
AUUGAACGCUGGCGGAAUGCUUUACACAUGCAAGUCGAACGGCAGCACGGUGGCAGCCCUGGUGGCGAGUGGCGAACGGGUGAGUAAUACAUCGGAACGUGCCCGGUCGUGGGUGAUAACGUAGCGACAGUUACGCUAAUACCGCAUACGAUCUGAGGACGAACGCGGGGAACCUUCGGGCCUUCCGCCCUCGGAGCAGCCGAUGUCCGAUUAGGUAGUUGGUGGGGUAAAGGCCUACCAAGCCGACGAUCCGUAGCUGGUCUGAGAGGACGACCAGCCACACUGGGACUGAGACACGGCCCAGACUCCUACGGGAGGCAGCAGUGGGGAAUUUUGGACAAUGGGCGCAAGCCUGAUCCAGCCAUACCGCGUGCAGGACGAAGGCCUUCGGGUUGUAAACUGCUUUUGUACGGAACGAAAAGGCUCUGGCUAAUACCUGGGGCUCAUGACGGUACCGAAAGAAUAAGCACCGGCUAACUACGUG